GAGGAAUAUUGGGCAAUGCCCGCAAGGGUGACCCAGCAACGCCGCGUGGAGGAUGAAUGUCGUAAGAUUGUAAACUCCUGUUAGAGGGGAAGAAUAGUACCGGUUGGACCGGUAUAUGACUGUACCCUCAGAGAAAGCCCCGGCUAGCUACGUGCCAGCAGCCGCGGUAAUACGUAGGGGGCAAGCGUUGUCCGGAUUUACUGGGUGUAAAGGGCGCGCAGGCGGGAUAAAAAGUCAGUGGUGAAAUCCUACAGCUUAACUGUAGAACUGCCUUUGAUACUUUUAUUCUUGAGUUCGGGAGAGAGAGACGGAAUUCCAGGUGUAGUGGUGAAAUACGUAGAUAUCUGGAAGAACACCAGUUGCGAAGGCGGUCUCUUGGUCCGACACUGACGCUGAGGCGCGAAAGCGUGGGGAGCAAACA
rnacentral:rRNA from 1 species